rnacentral:rRNA from 1 species
CCUACGGGAGGCAGCAGUAGGGAAUAUUGCGCAAUGGAGGAAACUCUGAACCAGCAACGCCGCGUGAAGGAUGAAGGUUUUCGGAUUGUAAAGUUCUGUGGUGAGGGAUGAAAACAAUGACGGUACACCAAUAGCAAGCCACGGCUAACUAGCUGCCAGCAGCCGCGGUAAGACGUAGGUAGCAAGCGUUAGCCGGAAUGACUGGGCGUAAAGGCUGCGUCGGUGGUUUAGUAAGUAGGAUGUGUAAUCCCGGGGCUCAACCGCAGCGCUACCGCUAAAACUAUUAUACUAGAGUGUAGGAGGGGUAAGUGGAAUUCCUGGUGUAGCGGUAGAAUGCGUAGAUAUUAGGAGGAACACUCGGGGCGAAGGCGACUUACUGGACUGUAACUGACACUGAGGCACGAAAGCGUGGGGAGCAAACAGGAUUAGAUACCCGGGUAGUC